UAGAAUCCAUAGAAAGCCAUCAUACACAUCAUCAAGUACAAAGUAGAUAUGAAUAUCUUCUUCUUCAAGUUUGCUUUCGUAGUUGCACUGCUGGCUUUUGCAGGUAACCUGAUUUUUUCACUACUUAAUAUUUGUGUAAAUUGUCUCUGUUCGCAGCUAUGUUUGCCGUAGAUUAAAUGCCCUUUGCGUCUACGGUCAUUCAAGUUCUAAUAACUAAUUAUAAGAGGUAGAGGUUGAUGUUCAGUGAGUAAGGUUAAUCAUCCCAUCCAAAGCAUUUUGUAAAAAAAAAAAAAAAUGCAAAUAUUUCUCCAAAUAAAUAUUGGUGGGUGUAGUGUGUGCAAAUUAGGUUAAUCAUCCCAUCCAAAGCAUUUUGUAAAAAAAAAAAAAAAAUGCAAAUAUUUCUCCAAAUAAAUAUUGGUGGGUGUAGUGUGUGCAAAUUAAAAAAAAAAAAAAUCAUGGUAUGACUAUUUUGUAUUGAAACUCUCUCUCUCUCUCUCUGUGUGUGUCUAUAUAUAUAUAUAUGUGUGUGUGUAUUAUUUUCAAUUGUAUCCUGAAUAAUAUAUCAAAUAUAUAUUAUACAGAGAUAGCUAGCAUACUUUAAAAGGUAAGUUUGAAGUUAAUUAAUUGAUAGUUGAUCGAUGCAUGCAGGUCAGCAGUAUGGAGCAGAUGCAAGGUUUGGUGUAAGGCGGUGCAAUACAACCGCGGAUUGUGUUCCACCCUGUAUAUGUGAUGGUUAUUUCUGUAAUUGUCAUGUACAACAAGAACCCGUCAAUAUUGGGCAAAUGAUAAUGGAUAAUCGCCAUUCAUGAUUUAAUUUGUAAUAUACAGGAUAAUAGGAGUGCAUGCAUGCCUAUAUUUGCAGAGAUGCAUUUACAUGUAUGUGUGUAUAACUUCUGAAGUUCUGUACUUCUAUGAUGAAUAAUUGUUCAAGUAAUAAAACAAUAUUCAAGUU
rnacentral:lncRNA from 1 species